ACAACAACAACAACAACAACAAGAAUAAUAAUAAUAAUAAUAAUAAUAAUAAUAAUAAUAAUAAUAAUAAUAAUAAUAAUAAUAAUAAUUUAAUUGUAUCACACUUAAUAUACCAAAUACCAAUAUAUGUAUAUAAACUGGAUAUUACAACGACCCAGUGACCACCACGAACCACCACGAACCACCACGGACCACAAAACGUCGCCACCACCACCACCCGUGAUCGUCGACACCGAACAGAGGCCUUCGCCACCACGAGCAGUACCCGUCGCCACCACCACCCGUGAUCAUUAAAAGAUGGCUCCCAGACUCAUUAUUCCAGCACCCGAGCAUUUCACUGGCCGCGUCACAUAUAGGGGCACUGGAAUUUUUGCAAAAAUUAAAGCUCGGUUUGAGGAGUUCAACCUUAAUAACACGGCGAAGGAAAGCCGUUUCGGGAGCUUCUGGAAUGCCGUACCACUGACAUUCUCCUCGGUGUUAU